rnacentral:rRNA from 1 species
UGGGGAAUUUUGGACAAUGGGCGCAAGCCUGAUCCAGCCAUUCCGCGUGCAGGAUGAAGGCCCUCGGGUUGUAAACUGCUUUUGUACGGAACGAAACGCGCUGAGCUAAUACCUCGGCGUAAUGACGGUACCGUAAGAAUAAGCACCGGCUAACUACGUGCCAGCAGCCGCGGUAAUACGUAGGGUGCAAGCGUUAAUCGGAAUUACUGGGCGUAAAGCGUGCGCAGGCGGUGAUGUAAGACAGAUGUGAAAUCCCCGGGCUCAACCUGGGAACUGCAUUUGUGACUGCAUCGCUGGAGUGCAGCAGAGGGGGAUGGAAUUCCGCGUGUAGCAGUGAAAUGCGUAGAGAUGUGGAGGAACACCGAUGGCGAAGGCAGCCCCCUGGGUCAAGAUUGACGCUCAUGCACGAAAGCGUGGGGAGCAAA